GUGACACAAAAGCCAUACAAUCCAGGCUCACCUGUCUGACAGUGCCCAUGAGCCAGUAUGUUACGAUCGAACAACCUUCCCAAAUGACUAUGACUGUAGUUUUCUAUGGACAUUCUUGACGACUCCGGACAGCUUUUCCUGCUCCUUCUUGCACCUCGUUUCUUUCGGAAUAAGAACACAGACCGGCUCCAGUUCGGUUUCUGUAUCUCCUGUCUCAGCAAUGUUCACCGGGUCCAUAGUCCUGCGCCGCUUCUCCUUCCUCACCAGAGCAAGGUUUUUAUUUUUACAGACUAGCUACAAUUCUUCACAUUCUAGGUUAACUACCGGUGCCAGCCAGCACACCAGGACCACAAGCGAACAACGUGCGUGCUGAUUGGUUCCCCUGGACACACAUGCUGCAGUGCUGACAGCUAUAUGACCAAUCACAGAGCUGAAAACAGAAACACCUUCUGCGUUCUGUUGCAUGCGUUAUUUGCUGUUUAAAUCGAAAUAAUAGCUCCACUGAGAGGUGGCAGCUUUAUAAUGUUGCCUAUUGCUAUCUAAAAUGUGUGUGCAAAUGAGGAUGUAUGGGUACAGGGCUGGAGGCCCUGGAGGCCUUUCUCCUGUAAUGAUGUUCCUGGCACAAGAAUUAGUCAAAUAAAUUCCAUCCUUUCUGCUUUA